UAGGGAAUAUUGGGCAAUGGGCGCAAGCCUGAUCCAGCCAUGCCGCGUGAGUGAUGAAGGCCUUAGGGUUGUAAAGCUCUUUCACCGGAGAAGAUAAUGACGGUAUCCGGAGAAGAAGCCCCGGCUAACUUCGUGCCAGCAGCCGCGGUAAUACGAAGGGGGCUAGCGGUGUUCGGAAUUACUGGGCGUAAAGCGCACGUAGGCGGACUUUUAAGUCAGGGGUGAAAUCCCGGGGCUCAACCCCGGAACUGCCUUUGAUACUGGAAGUCUGGAGUAUGGAAGAGGUAAGUGGCAUUCCGAGUGUAGAGGUGAUAUUCGUAGAUAUUAUGAAUAACACCAGCGGCGAAGGCGGCUUUGUGGCUCGUAACUUACGCUGAGGCGCUAAAGCGUUGGGAGCAAACA
rnacentral:rRNA from 1 species